rnacentral:rRNA from 1 species
GAUGAACGCUAGCGGGAGGCCUAACACAUGCAAGCCGAGCGGUAUUGUUUCUUCGGAAAUGAGAGAGCGGCGUACGGGUGCGGAACACGUGUGCAACCUGCCUUUAUCUGGGGGAUAGCCUUUCGAAAGGAAGAUUAAUACUCCAUAAUAUAUUGAACGGCAUCGUUUGAUAUUGAAAGCUCCGGCGGAUAGAGAUGGGCACGCGCAAGAUUAGCUAGUUGGUGAGGUAACGGCUCACCAAGGCGAUGAUCUUUAGGGGGCCUGAGAGGGUGAUCCCCCACACUGGUACUGAGACACGGACCAGACUCCUACGGGAGGCAGCAGUGAGGAAUAUUGGUCAAUGGGUGCAAGCCUGAACCAGCCAUCCCGCGUGAAGGACGACUGCCUUAUGGGUUGUAAACUUCUUUUGUAUAGGGAUAAACCUACCCUCGUGAGGGUAGCUGAAGGUACUAUACGAAUAAGCACCGGCUAACUACGUGCCAGCAGCCGCGGUAACAC